rnacentral:lncRNA from 1 species
UUUUUAAGCCCGCCGGAAAAGCGCAGUAUUCGGGUGGGAGUGACCCGAUUUUCCAGGUGCCGUCCGUCACCCCUUUCUUUGACUCGGAAAGGGAACUCCCUGACCCCUUGCGCUUUCUGAGUGAGGCAGUGCCUCGCCCUGCUUCGGCUCGCACACGGUGCGCGCACCCACUGACCUGCGCCCACUGUCUGGCACUCCCUAGUGAGAUGAACCCGGUACCUCAGAUGGAAAUGCAGAAAUCACCCGUCUUCUGCGUCGCUCACGGUGGGAGCUGUAGACUGGAGCUGUUCCUAUUCGGCCAUCUUGGCUCCUCCGCAUUUGUUUUUAUGGUGGUUUUGUAUUGUUUUUAUAGAGCUGCCCUCACAUGCUUCAGCAACAUUAGAUGUUCUGGAGACUGGAAAGUCCAAGAUCAUGGUGCCUGAGGAUUCAGUGUCUGAAGUGGUGUUUCCUCGUGUUGCCCAUGCUGGUCUCCAAUUCCUGAACUCAAGUAAUCCAUC